ACUCCGUCCACCAACAACAGCUCUGAAGGAAAUGACCUGCAGCAGCAGAACAGCUGCAUACUGUGCCAGAGUGAAGUCAUUUACAGCUCGUUGGCCCUGAAUAUCCUCUUCAUCUUAGUGAUAAUAGGUUUGGUUUUAACUCUUCUGUGUUUGAAGUGUAACCAUCAGGGGACUGAUCCGUCAUCUUUCACCUAUGAGAACCUGCAGUACGACGAGAUCCAGCUCAGAAACUUUCCACCGGCUGUCGCUUCUUCAUAGGCUGUUUACUGCUGGCCUCGGCUGGCUCCAAACCCCAGGAAGAAAGAAAAAGACAAAAACAAACAGACUUCUGGUUGAUCCAGAAGAAAACCUGGAAACCUGACGAGUUGCUGGGGUUGUCCCCAGGCUAGCUGACAGUCUUGCCUGGGCCUGGGACUUUUGUGUUUUUUCUAAAUAUGAAUGUGGAUAAUGUGAGCAAUAGUGAGAUGCUUGCUAGAGUUGCGUUUCGAGUGAGAAAUAUGCCUAAAACGUUUCAUUUUCUCUGAUUUACUGCUUUGUUUUAAUGCCGCCAGGCGCUCUUUCUCUCUUCAGUCACUCACCACUGUGUCUUACCUUGCUCUACUUUGACUUUACUAUUUCCAGCUUUACCGUCACCACCUUUUUUUUAAAUAUUUGUUUA